rnacentral:lncRNA from 1 species
AUCAAACACAUUGUGAUUAAAGUAGAGAAAAAAACACACAGAGCACUUAACAUCCAGUCCUUUCCCUUCUGCCCAUUUCCCACCCCUCUCAGAUUUCUCAGUCCCCAAACACCAAAACAAACCCACCUCUUGGAUCUCAUCGCCCCUCCCUCUUCUACAUAUCCCUCCCCCACCAUUCCCAUUCCCCCUUCAGAUCCCACCUCCCCAUUUCCCCAUUCCCAAUUCCCAUCUCUCUGCGGGAAUCAAAACGAGGAGCUCACUCUGCUUUUGCUUUGCUUCACC